UACGGGAGGCAGCAGUGGGGAAUAUUGCACAAUGGGCGCAAGCCUGAUGCAGCCAUGCCGCGUGUAUGAAGAAGGCCUUCGGGUUGUAAAGUACUUUCAGCAGUGAGGAAGGCGGGUACGUUAAUAGCGUGCUCGUUUGACGUUAGCUGCAGAAGAAGCACCGGCUAACUCCGUGCCAGCAGCCGCGGUAAUACGGAGGGUGCGAGCGUUAAUCGGAAUUACUGGGCGUAAAAGCGCAUGCAGGUGGUUUGUUAAGUCAGAUGUGAAAGCCCGGGGCUCAACCUCGGAAUUGCAUUUGAAAACUGGCAGACUAGAGUACUGUAGAGGGGGUAGAAUUUCAGGUGUAGCGGUGAAAAUGCGUAGAGAUCUGAAGGAAUACCGGUGGCGAAGGCGGCCCCCUGGACAGAUACUGACACUCAGAUGCGAAAGCGUGGGGAGCAAACAGGAUUAGAUACCCUGGUAG
rnacentral:rRNA from 1 species